AAAAAAAAAAAAAAAAGAAUGGUGUGUUUAGUAUGCUCUCUUUACAUGCAUUCAUUUUGCUGGCUUGUUCAUGAGAAACUCUAAAUCAUAUGAGAAAUGAAUACCAUGGUCUCCAGGAAAGAUGUGUGUAGGAACUAUAAAAACUGGAACAGGAAGAAGGUUUUCAUUCUCUACCUUUAUAUUUAUUCUUAAAAUUGAAGGGAAACUAAAGCAAUUAUAAGUUCUUGGAGACAGUAGGUAUUAGUACUAUCUUAUAGGAAAUGAUUUGUCUUUAGGGGUCCAGAAACAUAAAAAUAUCCA
rnacentral:lncRNA from 1 species